UGGCUGUAGCUAUAUUAAUGAAAAAAGAAGUUUACUGGCCGGUUGUUGUGAGAUUUUUCUCUUUAAUCGACAUAUCUGCUUACCGAACUUCUCACAAAU